UCGGGGCGAGGCGUGAUGAUGGGGGCCUUACGGCCCGAAUCCGGUGAUCCGUGGUGCCGAGAAAAGCUUCGGCGUCAGGCGCGUUGCCGCCCGUACCCCAAACCGACACUGGUGGUCAGGUAGAGAAUACCAAAGCGAUCGAGCGAAUCCUGGUCAAGGAACUCGGCAAAUUGCUCCCGUGCCUUCGGCAUAAGGGAGACCCCCUGCGGUGAUGAGCGGCGGGGGGUGGCACAGGCCAGGGGGUAGCGACUGUUUACCAAAAACACAGGAGCGUGCGAAGGCGCAAGCCGCUGUAUACGCUCUGACGCCUGCCCGGUGCCGGAAGGUUAAGAGGAUCCGUCAGCUUUCUGCGAAGCGGUGAAUUCAAGCCCCGGUAAACGGCGGUGGUAACAAUAACCAUCCUAAGGUAGCGAAAUUCCUUGUCGGGUAAGUUCCGACCUGCACGAAUGGCGUAACGACUUCCCCACUGUCUCAACCAGGAGCUCGGCGAAAUUGCAGUACGAGUAAAGAUGCUCGUUAAGCGCAGAAGGACGAAAAGACCCCGGGACCUUUACUAUACCUUGGUAUUGGCAUUAGGCGCGGAUUGUGUAGCAUAGGCGGGAGGCUUCGAGGCGGGUGCGCCAGCAUCCGCGGAGCCGCAAGGUGAAAUACCGCUCUGUUCUCGUUUGGUGUCUAACCUCGAACAGUCAUCCUGUUCAGGGACAGUGCCUGGCGGGUAGUUCAACUGGGGCGGUUGCCUCCCAAAGAGUAACGGAGGCGCUCAAAGGUCCGCUCGGCCCGGUUGGCAAUCGGGUGUCGAGUGUAAUCGCACAAGCGGGCUUGACUGCGAGAUCGACGGAUCGAGCAGGGACGAAAGUCGGAGAUAGUGAUCCGGUGCCGGCGCACGGGCGCGGCAUCGCUCAACGGAUAAAAGGUACCCCGGGGAUAACAGGCUUAUCAUUCCCAAGAGUCCAUAUCGACGGGAUGGUUUGGCACCUCGAUGUCGGCUCGUCGCAUCCUGGGGCUGGAGCAGGUCCCAAGGGUUCGGCUGUUCGCCGAUCAAAGCGGCACGCGAGCUGGGUUCAGAACGUCGUGAGACAGUUUGGUCUCUAUCCUCUGCGCUCGUUGGAAUCUUGAGGAGGCCUGCCCAUAGUACGAGAGGACCUGGGUGGACGAAUCUCUGGUAUGCCGGUCGUCACGCCAGUGGCGCGGCCGGUUGGCUACGUUCGGAAGGGAUAACCGCUGAAAGCAUCUAAGCGGGAAGCCUUCUCCAAGAUAAGGAUUCCAUGCGGCCCCGAGCCGCUGAAGACCCCAUGCAGAACACGUGGUCGAUAGGCCGGACGUGGAAGCCCCGCGAGGGGUGGAGCCGACCGGUACUAAUGGUCGAGAGGCU
rnacentral:rRNA from 1 species